rnacentral:rRNA from 1 species
GACGAACGCUGGCGGCGUGCUUAACACAUGCAAGUCGAACGGAAAGGCCCUGCUUUUGUGGGGUGCUCGAGUGGCGAACGGGUGAGUAACACGGGAGUAACCUGCCCUUGACUGUGGGAUAACUUCAGGAAACUGGGGCUAAUACCGGAUAGGAGCUCCUGCUGCAUGGUGGGGGUUGGAAAGUUUCGGCGGUUGGGGAUGGACUCGCGGCUUAGCAGCUUGUUGGUGGGGUAGUGGCUUACCAAGGCUUUGACGGGUAGCCGGCCUGAGAGGGUGACCGGACACAUUGGGAUUGAGAUACGGCACAGCCUCCACCGGGAGGCAGGAGGGGGGAGUAUUGCACAAUGGGCGGAAGCCUGAUGCAGUCAAGCCGCGUGCGGGAUGACGGCAUUGGGGUUGUAAACCGAUUUCGCCUGUGACGAAGCGUGAGUGACGGUAAUGGGUAAAGAAGCACCGGCUAACUACGUG